UCUUCAUGCAAAAUAUUAUUAUUAUUUCAAUUUUUUUUCUUUUGAUUUUGAGGUGAAAUAUGAGCUGGAGGAGAUGCACUGAGCAUCUCGUCUGUCUCCUGUAGUGUUUCUGUAUGUCACUCGCACACGUGUUUUUGUUGUAGUCAGUUUUAGAAAGCGUCUCAUGAAUGAUAAUGAGAAUAAACUGAUGGUUAUUAUUGUGUGACCAAUCCAGAAUCUGGAAAUGACACAAUCAA